rnacentral:rRNA from 1 species
AUUAAGCCAUGCAUGUCUAAGUAUAAACCAAUUUAUACGGUGAAACUGCGAAUGGCUCAUUAUAUCAGUUAUAAUUUACAUGAUGAUGACUUGCUACAUGGAUAACUGUGGUAAUUCUAGAGCUAAUACAUGCGGAGGGUCGGAGAGGGAAACCUUGACGACUGCAUUUAUUAGAUACCAAACCGAUGACACUUGUGUCUUGGAUGAUUCAUGAUAACUAUGCGGAUCGCAUGGCCUUGUGCCGGCGACGGAUCAUUCAAAUUUCUGCCCUAUCAACUUUUGAUGGUAGGAUCGAGGCCUACCAUGGUUCUUACGGGUAACGGGGAAUUAGGGUUCGAUUCCGGAGAGGGAGCCUGAGAAAUGGCUACCACAUCCAAGGAUGGCAGCAGGCGCGCAAAUUACCCAAUCCCGACAUGGGGAGGUAGUGACAGUAAAUAACAAAGGGGGGCCUUAUGGUUUCCCUAUUGGAAUGGAAGGGGGUUAAAUCUUCCCUUGAGAAACGAUUGGAGGGCAAGUCUGGUGCCAGCAGCCGCGGUAAUUCCAGCUCCAAUAGCGUAUAUUAAAGUUGCUGCAGUUAAAACGCUCGUAGUUGAAUUUUAGGUGGGGGCAGGUGGUCUACACUUGUGUAUGACUGCCUUCCGAAGCCUCUUUAAGGGGGGAUGGGUCGAUUUCGAUUCCUUUCCCCUGAUUACUGUGAGAAAAUUAGGGUGUUCAAAGCACACUUCGAGUGUGAAUACUACAGCAUGGAAUAAUGGAAUAGGACGGCUGUCCUGUUUUGUUGGUUUGAGGGUGGUCGUAAUGAUUAAUAGGGACAGUUGGGGGCAUUAGUAUUUGACAGCUAGAGGUGAAAUUCUUGGAUUUGUCAAAGACUAGCUGGUGCGAAAGCGUUUGCCAAGGAUGUUUUCAUUAAUCAAGAACGAAAGUUAGGUGAUCGAAGACGAUCAGAUACCGUCGUAGUCUCAACCAUAAACUAUAGCGACAGGGAGGUUGCACGUGUUUUCGAUGACCGUGUAACAACCCAACCUGAAAAGAAGUCUUUGGCUUCCAGGGGGAAUAUGCGUCGCAAGUCUGAAACUUAAAGGAAUUGACGGAAGGGCACCACCAGGGGUGGAGCCUGCGGCUUAAUUUGACUCAACACGGGGAAACUCACCAGGUCCGGACAUGGCGAGGAUUGACAGAUUGAGAGCUCUUUCUUGAUUCCAUGGAUGGUGGUGCAUGGCCGUUCUUAGUUGGUGGAGUGAUUUGUCUGGUUAAUUCCGAUAACGAACGAGACCUUAACCUGCUAACUAGUUGCGGGUACGCGAGUACCGGCACACUUCUUAGAGGGACUGACUACGUUUAGUGGUCGGAAGUUUGAGGCAAUAACAGGUCUGUGAUGCCCUUAGAUGUUCUGGGCCGCACGCGCGCUACACUGAUAAAGGCAGCGAGUAUACAACCUUGACCGAAAGGUCUGGGUAAUCUUCUGAAUCUUUAUCGUGAUGGGGAUAGACCAUUGCAAUUAUUGGUCUUGAACGAGGAAUUCCUAGUAAGCGCAAGUCAUCAGCUUGCGUUGAUUACGUCCCUGCCCUUUGUACACACCGCCCGUCGGUACUACCGAUUGAAUGGCUUAGUGAGGCCUUCGGAUUGUUCUUAAGAGCUUGCAAAAGCUUUCAGGAGUGAGAAGUUGGACAAACUUGGUCAUU